ACGAACGCUGGCGGCGUGCUUAACACAUGCAAGUCGAACGGAAAGGCCCUGCUUUUGUGGGGUGCUCGAGUGGCGAACGGGUGAGUAACACGUGAGUAACCUGCCCUUGACUUUGGGAUAACUUCAGGAAACUGGGGCUAAUACCGGAUAGGAGCUCCUGCUGCAUGGUGGGGGUUUGAAAGUUUCGGCGGUUGGGGAUGGACUCGCGGCUUAUCAGCUUGUUGGUGGGGUAGUGGCUUACCAAGGCUUUGACGGGUAGCCGGCCUGAGAGGGUGACCGGCCACAUUGGGACUGAGAUACGGCCCAGACUCCUACGGGAGGCAGCAGUGGGGAAUAUUGCACAAUGGGCGGAAGCCUGAUGCAGCAACGCCGCGUGCGGGAUGACGGCCUUCGGGUUGUAAACCGCUUUCGCCUGUGACGAAGCGUGAGUGACGGUAAUGGGUAAAGAAGCACCGGCUAACUACGUG
rnacentral:rRNA from 1 species